rnacentral:lncRNA from 1 species
GUAGAGGUGGUUGGUGUAGAGAUGGUGGUGGGUGUAGAAGUGGUGGUUGGUGUAGAGGUUUUGGUCGGUGUAGAAGUGGUGGUCGGUGUAGAGGUGGUUGUUGGUGUAGAGGUGGUGGAGGGUGUAGAUGUGGUGGUCAGUAGGUCAGUGGUGGAGGUAGAGGUGGUUUUCGGUGUAGAAGUGGUGGUCGGUGUAGAGGUGGUGGUCACUGUAGAAGUGAUGCUCAGUGUAGAGGUGGUGGUCAGUGUAGAAGUUUUGAUCGGUGUAGAGGUGGUGGUGGGUAUAGAUGUAGUGGUUUGUAUAGAGGUGGUGGUUGGUGUAGAGGUGGUGGUCGGUGUAGACGUGGUGGUAGGUGUAGAGAUGGUGGUGGGAAUAGAUGUGGUGAUCGGUGUAGAGGUGGUAGUCACUGUAGACGUGGUGGUAGGUGUAGAGGUGCUGGUCGGUGUAGAGGUGGUGGUCAGUGUAGAGGUGGUGGUGGGUGUAGAAGUGGUGGUCAGUGUAGAGAUGGUGGAAGGAGUAGAUGUAGUGGUUGGUGUAGAAGAGGUGGUGGGUAUAGAGGUGGUUGUCGGUGUAGAUGUGGUGGUCGGUGUAGAAGUGGUGGUCGGUAUAGAGAUGGUGGUGCCUGUAGAGGGGGUUGUAGGUGUAGAGCGUGUGGUGGGUGUAGAGAUGCUGGUGGGUGUGGAAGUGGUGGUCGAUGUAGUCGUGGUGGUCGUUGUAAAGUUGGUGGCCACUGUGGAGGUCGAUGUGGUGUUUGCUGUGGAAGUAACCCGUGUGGAGUUUAGGUCAGUGAACGUUUGGUGGAGGAUUCCAUGGAGGUCCCUGCUCAGGUGAUCCCUGGGAUGCUCGUGGGAGUCCCAUGGGAGCUUGUGGUCAUUCUGAGAAAGCUGGUGGGGUUCUCAUGGGUGCUGCUCUGGGUCCCAGGGGGCUCAUGGGGGUUUUAGGGGUGCUGGCGGGGGUCUCUGUGGUGAUUUCUCUGCUCCCUGCUGUUGCUCCCUGUGGAGGCUGCAUCACUCGGCGCCGUGUGGAGGCCGACCCGUGCCUCACAUUUCCCCUCCGGCCUCACCCGUGGCUGUGCCCCCUUCCCCCCUGGCCUCUUUCCCACUUUCACUUUAAUCUGACCCUUGUCCUAUUCCUGUUCACACGUCUGUGGGACGGGUGGGGCAGAGGCUGAACAGGAGGAUGUGGACUCCAGUGUCCCGAUUUUUGGACUCUUCUGCCCAAGCUCAUGGCCUCCACUGUCCCAGUUCUGGCCUCCAGUGCCCCAAUCCUGGCUUCAUCUGCCCCAAUUCUGGCCUACCGUGCCCCAAUUUUUGCCUCCACUGCCCCAGUUCUGGCCUCCGAUGCCACAGUUCUGGCCUCCACCGCCCCAGUUCUGUGUCUACUCUGCCCCAAUUUGUGGCCUCCCUUGCCCCAAUUUUGGCCUCCGCUGGCCCUCAUCAAUGCCAUCACCGCAGGGUGGGGGGCUGUGGAGUGUCCCCAUCCUUGUCCUUGUCCCCAUCCCCCUCCCCAAUGUCCCUGUCCCCAAUGUCCCCGUCCCCCUCCCCAGUGUCCCCAUCCCCCUCCCCAAUGUCCCUGUCCCCAUCCCCACCAGGACGGUGCCACCUCAGGCUGUG